rnacentral:rRNA from 1 species
UACGUAGGGUGCAAGCGUUAAUCGGAAUUACUGGGCGUAAAGCGUGCGCAGGCGGUUUUGUAAGUCUGUCGUGAAAUCCCCGGGCUCAACCUGGGAAUUGCGAUGGAGACUGCAAGGCUAGAAUCUGGCAGAGGGGGGGUAGAAUUCCACGUGUAGCAGUGAAAUGCGUAGAGAUGUGGAGGAACACCGGAUGGCGAAGGCAGCCCCCCUGGGUCAAGAUUGACGCUCAUGCACGAAAGGCGUGGGGAGCAAACGAGGAUUACGAAACCC